rnacentral:rRNA from 1 species
UGGGGAAUCUUGCGCAAAUGGGCGAAAGCCUGACGCAGCAACGCCGCGUGGGGGAUGAAGGCCUUCGGGUUGUAAAACCCCUUUCAGCAGGGACGAAUCAUGACGGUACCUGCAGAAGAAGCCCCGGCCAACUACGUGCCAGCAGCCGCGGUAAUACGUAGGGGGCGAGCGUUGUCCGGAUUUAUUGGGCGUAAAGAGCUCGUAGGCGGCUUGGCAAGUCGGGUGUGAAACCUCCAGGCUUAACCUGGAGACGCCACUCGAUACUGCCAUGGCUAGAGUCCGGUAGGGGACCACGGAAUUCCUGGUGUAGCGGUGAAAUGCGCAGAUAUCAGGAGGAACACCGGUGGCGAAGGCGGUGGUCUGGGCCGGCACUGACGCUGAGGAGCGAAAGCGUGGGUAGCAAACA